AUCUGAGAGCUCAAGCGGAACGCCCGGUCUCAUCGUGUCCUGCUAUCCAGAUCUCUGGAUUUACCUGCGUUCUCUGUCUUCAGCUCCUCAAUCUGGCUUUGACUGAACUGAAGCUUCACCCUCUGCUCCACCACCAUGUCCCUCAGCUCGGUCCACACAUCGGGCUGGUUUGGAUUCAGCUCUGAGCUCUCCGCACAACUCUGGUUCUGAAGUCUGUUCAGUCCAGACUGCGCGUCCCCCACUGUGAGCUGGUCAUCGCCUCUCUGGAGCUGAACACAAGACAAUCAGAACCAAAGCAGGACCACACUGACCCUCAUCCUGAGAUAAUUACAGUGUAUAGCGUCUCUCACUGGAGUCCUUUUAUAUGGUCACUUUAUAGUGAGUGUCACUGUAGGGACUGGCAUGGCCUAAAUACACAUCAGGUCUCAUGAUCUUGUUUAACUUCCAUUCACCCACACACAAAAUUAUUUAUCAUCAUUUUAUUUUUUUCAGAAAGUGGCACUGCAAUAUUAUGACUGAACACUAGAUGCCAGUAUUGUACACCUAGUGAAGGCUGGCAAGACCCUUCAAAGCUGAGAGGGAGGAGCUGGAGAGCAGAAGGAGGAGGAACCUCAAGGCUGCUUUCAGAGUGAAUGUCAGAUUAAGCUGCACAUUUUCUCAAUUCAUAACAGACUUACUACCAUUUGGCAUUAUUUAAUUCUGUUACUUUGGGUUUGAGUUUUAGUUCAGGUUCCGUUUUUUUUUUCCGGCUGCAUUACGGAAGCCAUGAAGUAUUAAACAGAUAAAAGAAAGAAAUUACGUUCCUGAGGAUAAGUUCUACUUCAUCAUUACACCACUCUGCCAGAGGGGCAAUGUAAAAAAAAAAAAAAAAAACUGAGCGCAUCAGCUUU